CAUAGAGACGCGGACCGACCAAACCCGCACGCCGCUUGUUCUAUAGCUCGGCCGCUCGGCAGGUCAAGCCGCCCGCCCGUAAACCCUAUCUUCUCCUGUUCCCCUUCGCCCCCGGCCGGCGACGACGCCGCGCGCGCAGCGAACCCAGCCCCUCCUCCGGUUGCAGUAAGCAAGGAAGGAUGAGUAGGCGCUGGAGCCGGACCAUUUACGUUGGGAACCUCCCAGGGGAUAUCAGGGAGCGGGAGGUGGAGGAUCUCUUCUACAAGUAUGGACGGAUAGUUGAAAUUGACUUGAAGGUCCCCCCAAGGCCUCCUGGCUUUGCUUUUGUUGAGUUUGAAGAUCCCCGUGAUGCUGAAGAUGCGAUUCAUGGCCGAGAUGGCUACAACUUUGAUGGGAAUCGGCUUAGGGUUGAACUUGCACAUGGCGGGAGGGCCAACUCUUCAUCCCUUCCGAACAGCUAUGGUGGUGGGGGACGCCGUGGUGGUGUCUCUAGGCAUACGGAGUAUCGUGUUCUGGUUACUGGACUACCUUCUUCUGCAUCAUGGCAAGAUCUAAAGGACCAUAUGAGAAAGGCUGGUGAUGUUUGUUUCUCUGAGGUGUACCGUGAGGGUGGUGGUACUAUUGGAAUUGUUGAUUAUACAAACUAUGAUGAUAUGAAGUAUGCUAUAAGGAAGCUUGAUGAUACUGAAUUUAAAAAUGCCUUCUCUCGAGCGCCUAUAAGGGUGAAGGAGUAUGCUGGAAAAAGCAGCCGCUCCUAUUCACGCAGCCGUAGCAGAAGCCGAAGUGGCAGCUACAGCAGGAGUCCAAGUCCAAAGAAAAAACCAUCACGCCGUUCAGCGUCAAGAUCUCGGUCGAGAUCAGUUUCUUCCCAUUCAAGGUCACCGUCAAAGGAACGCUCUCCAUCAAGAUGAGGGAUUGUGCGGCGAUCUAGGGAUUGCGUAUUAGGAAAUUGAGGAUGGGGAUUUGGUCAGUUUGCACCAGCUCCAUUGGUUGACCGAGAGCUUGGGCAUAGAGGUUUGGAACUCUGGAAGUAGAGCAUUAAGGAUUGACGGUUUGGACUAUGACGGCACAAUGGUAUUUGCUCAGAUUUGAUUACGCGAGGACUGGCUCCUUCACAGGCUUCAAAUUGGAGGGCUGUUCUAGCGUAUAUGCCGUAACAUUGACACAAAACACUUUCAGUACUGCAUGUUUUUUGACACAAGGAACUGAUUGCUUUUAAUUUCUGUGAACCCAUUUUACUUGCAUUUGGCGAUUGGAAUGCCGGGGAGGAUGGAGGUUCUUGGAAGCAAGCUAUUAAAGCCCCAUUCUGGAUAUUGAUUUCUCUUGUUUUCUGGAACUUUUUGCAGAUCACCAGCUAAAUCCCGAUCCCCUGUCGCUGCAUCUCCCGUCGUCAAUGGUGAAGCAGUAAGCCCCAAGAGGGAUCCAAGCAAGAGCCCAUCACGUUCCCGGUCUCCUGAUGCCAAAUCAGAGUAAAACUGAUGCGAGGUUAGGGGCGGUGAGAGGCGGAGCCAUGGUCUUCAAAUUCUUCAUAUUUUGUCUUCGCCGACUUCUGCAUCCGCUGUUAUAGUACUAUCUCAGUGUUCGGUUAUUCUAGGUUCCUUGAUGUUUCUGUAAAAACUUGUUUGGAUGGAUUCUUGAGAUUUAUGUACUCUUUUCAUUGUCAGCAUUUUUACUUGGAUUAUUAUCUAUGGUCGUUGACUCGGAAGAUAUUUGAAUACAGUAACAUUGCCGUUUGUAAUGCUGAAAAUACAACCUGGAUUUGAGGUA